rnacentral:misc_RNA from 1 species
GAUGAAGAACGUAGCGAAAUGCGAUACUUGGUGUGAAUUGCAGAAUCCCGUGAACCAUCGAGUCUUUGAACGCAAGUUGCGCCCGAAGCCAUUAGGCCGAGGGCACGCCUGCCUGGGCGUCACACGUCGUUGCCCCCCCAUCUAAUCCUUCGGGAUUGUGGGGGGCGGAUGAUGGCCUCCCGUGCGCCUCGUCGCGCGGUUGGCAUAAAUGCCAAGUCCUCGGCGACGCACGCCACGACAAUCGGUGGUUGCGAAACCUCGGUUGCCCGUUGUGUGCGGUCGUCGCGCAUCGAGGGCUCGAAAAAAUUGCCGGGCUCCGGCUCGACUUUCAACGCGACCCCAGGUCAGGCGGGGUUACCCGCUGAAUUUAAGCAUAUCAAUAAGCGGAGGA